CAACUAAGCCCUACUACAACAACUACAGCUCCUAUACAACAACUACAGCUCCUACUAUGACAACUACAGCCCUAAUACGACAACCACAUCUACAGCUUCUGAUGCGACAACCACAACUACAGCUCUUACUACGACAAACCACAUCUACAGCUCCUAAUACGACAACCCCAGCUUCUAAUACAACAACCACAACUACAACUCUACUCCAACAACUACAGCUUAUAAUGCGACAACCAACAACUUCUAAUGCGACAACCACAACUACAGCUUCUAAUGCGACAACCACAACUUCGAAUGCGACAACCACAAACUACAGCUCCUAAUGCGACAACCACAACUACAGCUUCUACUACGACAACCCCAGCUUCUAAUACGACAACCACAACUACAGCUUCUACUACGACAACCAAAGCCUCUAAUCUGACAUCAACUACACAACUAAUAACUCAACAGAUGAGCACUACACCUCAAACCGCUGUACAGUCAACAACUAAUAGUGGACCUGGAUAUAAGUUUGUACUCAGGAUGAAAUUCACCUCGACGACAAAGCUAACCGAAUCGGAGAUCUUCAAGCAGCUUCGUGAGGAACUGAUCAGACGAGGGCUGCCAGGGGAGUUUACAGUGCAAUUAAGAAUCAUUCAGAACUAGUUGACAGGGGGAAGAGGAGGAGGACACCUGAGAGAAAACACUGACAGAACAGAAUGCAAACCUGAUCACAAAGAUAUCUUACACAAAUACUUUACAAUAGAUUAUCUUCCAGAUUAUGCUCUUAUCCCAUGACCUACUGUGACUAUAAAGAAUUAAAUAUCUAUCUACUUUUAGUUGUUGGAAAAUGCAUUAACCAUAAUUAAUGUUCUGUAAUAACUUUUAAAUUAAACCAUACAGGUUUAUUACUAUAUUUUACCUAGAAUUGUGUGUUUAUUAUAAAUAGGAAUUAGAUUUUGACAAAUAAUGGAAAACGAUGUUGCAUCUUUUGAAAAUGAAAGGUUUUGUUCUUCUGAAUGUCUGUGUCAGAUCUUUCUGGCGUGGAGAGGGUUAAAAGAUGGGGAGGCAGAUAUCAGACAUACAGCACUGUAGAAAGGGGAGGUGCUAAACUUUACCUCAGCAUUUGAUUGACACACAGUGGAACCUGAGUAACUUUACUCUGCCACCUGAGAGGUCAACAUCCUUUCAGCCAAGGUAAGUGACAUCACAAAGGGAUAAAGGAGAUAUAAUUUCUGCUAUGCAGUUAUGUGUUAUCAGCUUUAAUCUAAAACAUUGGGUUGUCUGUCACUGGACGCUGGUUUCCCGAAGUUCUGAGUACGAUUCAUGAUGACUCUUUGGACUUUGACUGAUUCUUUCACAGGCAGCUGAUAAGACACUAUGGCUGUAUUCACUAGGAAGCAAACAGAAGAAAACAGGGAUGGACUAAGGUGAACUUGUCCAAUAAGAAGCGUUAGUUUUCUUGCAAAAAGUUUUGCUAGUGUGUGCACUAAUGAAUCGAAUUUUACAGUCAUGAUUUGUUGUAAAAGUAGCCACAUGCAUGUGUUUGAGUUAACUUUGAUUUACUUUCUCUGCUUUAUUUAGGAUUAGAAGUUUUAGAUAUUUUGUCCAUAGUGUUUAAUGUAGGAGUAGAAGACAUUUCUGAAAUUUGUCCAUAUUGUUUUAUGUAGAAUUAUAAGACGCUUUACAUA